UUAAACGGAGAGUUUGAUCCUGGCUCAGGAUGAACGCUGGCGGCGUGCUUAACACAUGCAAGUCGAACGAUUAAAGCCCCUUCGGGGGUGUAUAGAGUGGCGAACGGGUGAGUAACACGUGAGCAACCUACCUUCUGUUCUGGGAUAACUCGAGGAAACUCAAGCUAAUACCGGAUAUUCCAUCUGCUCCGCAUGGUGCGGUUGGGAAAGCGUAUACGACAGAAGAUGGGCUCGCGUCCCAUUAGCUAGUUGGUAGGGUAACGGCCUACCAAGGCGAUGAUGGGUAGCCGGGUUGAGAGACCGACCGGCCAGAUUGGGACUGAGACACGGCCCAAACUCCUACGGGAGGCAGCAGUGGGGAAUUUUGCGCAAUGGGCGAAAGCCUGACGCAGCAACGCCGCGUGCGGGAUGAAGGCCUUCGGGUUGUAAACCGCUUUCAGUA
rnacentral:rRNA from 1 species